AACAGCAAGGUCUGACUGCUUCCUUAUGCAACCGGGAAAAAAAAUCUCUCCUUCUGUUGACAGACAGCUCUGUGCUCUGUCACUGCAGUUCAGCUGGAAAAGGCAGAAACAGGGAAUACUGAAGUGCAGCUCGCUUCUCCUUGCUGCUCCUAGAUGGCUCUGACUGCUACUGCUGCACUUUGUACAGCUGCGUACCAGCGUCCUCUCGCUGGCUCCCUGAUGUGGGUCCUGCCUGUGGGUCUACAUAGCCAUGGCACAGACUGAAGCCUCCCUCAUGAUGUGCUCUGAAAACCUUCAGGCUGGAAGAGGCUGUACACAAGGAAGAUAACACCUCCCUGCUCCCCCAUGCACACCAGUAGCUAGGUCUGUCCUGCCCAGAAUUCUUCCUCUGUGUUGUGUUGCCUUCAACUGCCAUUGCAUGACUAAGAUCCCCAGCUCUUCUGAAAAUGAUAACUACAUCAAUAUAGUAUCAAGGAGUCAGAUCGGAAUGGGUAUCAUCUUUCCUGGGAAGAUCCACAGUCCUAAUUGUCCUGUCUGUAUAUGACUGAAGUGCUAACUCUUCCAUUACACCAGCUUUUUCCACCAGCAUAAGUUUUGAUCUAAGAGGAAAAAAACAAGUCUUCUGGGUAGGACUAAGGAACAAUUGCUAUGACAUGAACUACGACUAA